GCGAGCGAAAAGAAAAUAGUUCAGCACUAAGUCACUUUGUUUUCAUAACAAAUGUGAGAUGCAGUGUAUGGGAAUAUCUAUAAUCUAGUAUGACAAAUUAAUGAUUUAAGUCCUUCUUAAAAGAGGCCAUUUACCCAAAGAGGGUGCCAGGCCCGUAUAACAUUAAUGAUUACUAGAAGAUAUUUCCAAAGAGUCGUGUUGCUUGAUAGUGCAGCACUAAGAGGGUGGUAAACUCCAUCUAAAGCUAAAUAUUACCAUGAGACCGAUAGUAAACAAGUACCGUGAGGGAAAGUUGAAAAGAACUCUGAAUAGAGAGUUAAAUAGUACGUGAAACUGCUUAGAGGUUAAGCCCGAUGAACCUGAAUAUCCAUUAUGGAAAAUUCAUCAUUAUAACUGAAAUACUAUAUUUAUAUAUGUAUCAGUAUAAWAGUAAUAAUGUGCAUUUUUUCCAUAUAAGGACAUUGUAAUCUAUUAAUACAAAUUUAUCAUAAGAUCAAUAGCAAAAGUUUAUUAAAUUUAGAUUGUUUUACAAUUUUAACAUUUAAUAAAUGCUUUUGAUUUGAUAAAGUAUUGAUAGCUUUAUAUAUAUAGUGUAUAAAUUGUUUUCUAAACAAUUUUACAAUAACAUUUUUAUUAUAUAUAACAAAUGUUUAUUGUAUACACUUAUAUGAUUAACAAUGCGAAAGAUUCAGGAUACCUUCGGGACCCGUCU
rnacentral:rRNA from 1 species